GAAAUAUGGUAUUCAAGAGGAAGCUUCUAACUUCCAUCUUUAGCAGUGAAAAUCUGUUAAUAUUUCU
rnacentral:tRNA from 1 species